UGGGGAAUAUUGGACAAUGGGCGAAAGCCUGAUCCAGCCAUGCCGCAUGAGUGAAGAAGGCCUUUGGGUUGUAAAGCUCUUUUAGUGAGGAAGAUAAUGACGGUACUCACAGAAGAAGUCCUGGCUAACUCCGUGCCAGCAGCCGCGGUAAUACGGAGAGGGCUAGCGUUAUUCGGAAUUAUUGGGCGUAAAGGGCGCGUAGGCUGGUUAAUAAGUUAAAAGUGAAAUCCCGAGGCUUAACCUUGGAAUUGCUUUUAAAACUAUUAAGCUAGAGAUUGAAAGAGGAUAGAGGAAUUCCUGAUGUAGAGGUAAAAUUCGUAAAUAUUAGGAGGAACACCGGUGGCGAAGGCGUCUAUCUGGUUCAAAUCUGACGCUGAAGCGCGAAGGCGUGGGGAGCAAACA
rnacentral:rRNA from 1 species